rnacentral:rRNA from 1 species
AUACUGGAUAUGACCUUCUGGCGCAUGCCAUGUUGGUGGAAAGCUUUAUUGCGGUUUUGGAUGGACUCGCGGCCUAUCAGCUUGUUGGUGGGGUAAUGGCCUACCAAGGCGACGACGGGUAGCCGGCCUGAGAGGGUGGACGGCCACACUGGGACUGAGACACGGCCCAGACUCCUACGGGAGGCAGCAGUGGGGAAUAUUGCACAAUGGGCGCAAGCCUGAUGCAGCGACGCCGCGUGGGGGAUGAAGGCCUUCGGGUUGUAAACCUCUUUCAGUAGGGAAGAAGCGAAAGUGACGGUACCUGCAGAAGAAGCGCCGGCUAACUACGUGCCAGCAGCCGCGGUAAUACGUAGGGCGCAAGCGUUAUCCGGAAUUAUUGGGCGUAAAGAGCUCGUAGGCGGUUUGUCGCGUCUGCCGUGAAAGUCCGGGGCUUAACUCCGGAUCUGCGGUGGGUACGGGCAGACUAGAGUGAUGUAGGGGAGACUGGAAUUCCUGGUGUAGCGGUGAAAUGCGCAGAUAUCAGGAGGAACACCGAUGGCGAAGGCAGGUCUCUGGGCAUUAACUGACGCUGAGGAGCGAAAGCAUGGGGAGCGAACAGGAUUAGAUACCCUGGUAGUCCAUGCCGUAAACGUUGGGCACUAGGUGUGGGGGACAUUCCACGUUUUCCGCGCCGUAGCUA